rnacentral:rRNA from 1 species
AGCCUUAGGCUUCUUCUAAGGUGAGUCCUGCCCAGUGAAAAUUUUAACGGCCGCAGUACCUUGACUGUGCUAAGGUAGCGUAAUCAGUUGGCUUUUAAUUGGAGUCGAGAAUGAAAGGGUUAACGGGGGCUUACUGUCUCUGGCUUGCUUUAUUGAACUUACUUAGAGGGUGAAAAUUCCCUUUUUUAGAAAAAAGACGAGAAGACCCUUGGAGUUUUUAAUAAAAGUUUUUAAUGCUUUCUUUUUUGUUGGGGCGACAUGAAGGCAAGUUAACCCUUCUUUUUUAAAAAAACUUGACGGAUCUUUCAAGUGAGAUUAAACUACCCUAGGGAUAACAGCAUAAUGUUUUAAAAGCUUGUGACCUCGAUGUUGGACUAGGAACUAAAUGACUAGCCGUCAAGUUAGUUUGUUCUGUUCGAACUUUUUCUCCUACAU